CUAAGUCUUUGAGAAGCAAAACACUGAAUGGCUUUUUCUUUAUAAAUUCUCAGGUUUGUUUCCCAGCAUCCCAGUGGAGUGACGUAAUGGUUUAAGUGUUUGGAAGCCAUGGCUGGAUUUGAACUACUGACUUAGAGGUGAAGUGUUCUACAGCCUAGAUCCAAAUCCCUGGAGUCAGAUGGCAGUUCUAUGUGCCCCGGAUAAAAUGAAUUGAGAAGCACUCUUCUGGUCUAUUUGCUGUCCCUGCUGGUCAGAAGAUCACUUCUAACUUGCUGGGUGGUGACCGUCGACCAGCUGAGCCAGUCCUGUCCCGUGGGCCCCUGCAGCCCAUGCCCUUUGACCUCGUGUCCAGGGCAGCGAGAUACGCUCUGGUGUUCACCACGCCCCUCUGGACUCUGUGUCCCAGCCCCUCGCAUUUUCUAAGAGCAGCUGUGCCGUUGGAGUCUCCGUGAUUAACAAAGUAUCAAGCCAUUCCCCAGGAACCUUCUAGACCUGCCUCUCAGGAGACAUCUGAUGGAUCUCUGCUUCACAGAUGGUUUAUCAGGACAUCAAGUAAUAACUUGCUCUUCUGUCUCCACUCUCCCGGGUACAUUUUAGAGGGAAAAAACCUCCACGUCAUAUGAUAGGUGUUUCAUCUUUGUUAAGACAAGCACCUGGCCAUGAAUCUUUAUCCUAUUCGCUGCGUGCUGAACCAGCCUG